ensembl:snRNA U6 U6 spliceosomal RNA
GUUAUGUGCCUUGGCAGAGCAUAUACUAAAAUUGGAACAUUAAGAUUAGCAUGGCUCCAACACAAGGAUUACACACAAAUUCAUGAAGCAAUACUGGUAGCA